CGUAUCAAUUUGUUUGUUUAAAUCGAUCAAAUCUAAGGUUGAAUUUUACUGAAAAAAAUUUUUUUUUAUAGUUGAGUUUGAGUUUUGAAUUUAAUCGGAAAGGAAAUAAAUUAAAAUGAUAUUAUUGUGUAUUUAAUUCCGAUUUAGGUUAUUAAUUAAUGCGGUAGUUGCUGCCACCAGAAAUAGUCCAAAGACUAUUUCAAAAUAUUUUAUUUUUUAUUAUUUUCUUUUGCGUUUAAUGGGUAGCGUUAACUGACGCUUAAUGCAACUGGUAAACGAAUUUCACUUUUCGGCUAACCUGCUAUGCGCAGGGAUACUAGCGCGGGAGAGGAUUAAAGCUGGGUACAAUAAAUAUUUUUCCUCGUCGAACGGAUUUUUACUUGAAUGUGAAAUGGGUUAGGUUAUUAUAUAUAUAUUUGAUUAGCUAGAUAUAUAUAUUUUAGCGUUGCUGGAUUAGAUAGGAAUGUGAGAUUGGUUGUUGUUUUAUAUAAAUUUAUUUUUUCGUUUGACUUCCUCUUCUCUUUUAAUUUCGCUGUUAAGACCGAAACUCAAUUCAUUUACCCCGAUGGAUUCUGUCGCCACGAUUUUCUUGCCUUUUGAGUUUAGCUAUCGAGGAUAAUUCUAACGAUCCUCUCUGUGUGGGACUCGUGUGAUUUCGCCAGCCUUGCCCAAAGACGGGUAAUAAUUUACCAACAGUGGGAGGAGGAAGGCGAAGAUCGAUGGGUGUUCUCGAUAAUUGAAAACACCGUUUGCACGAGCCGACACAGCGAACGAUCUUUUGGUUAAUUUCCCGAAGGGGGGGAUUGUUUUGUUAUAUCUUUCUUAUAAUCGCAUGCAAGAAUGGCAAGAAUAUCGGUUAAUAGCAAUAUCGGUAUCGUUCUUGAUUUUCAAUUGACCCCGACGAUAUAUUUAUUAGUCCUUUCUGAGCGGGACUUGUGUGAUUUCGCAAGCCUUGCCCAAAGAUGGGUAAUAUUUUACCAACAAUGGGAGGAGGAAUGCGAAGAUCAGUGGGUGUUUCAGUAGCUGAAAACACCGUUCGCACAAGCCGACACAACGGACAACUCCUUUGCUUAAAAUUUAAGCAAUGUUUCUAUCUUAAAAACCGUAAAUGAAAUCGAUGAUAGGAGAGAAGAAGAAAGUUUUUUAAAUUUAAUUUGCUUACCUUGAGGAAAAGGUGCUAUCGGGUGCCAUCACUCCAGCUGUCCCGGUGAUCGUCGAAGGUUGUUGGGUUUAUUAUUUAAUCUCGAAUAUAGUUUUCUAUCAACCUUUACUUUAUUAAACUAUUUCGAUACAAAUUGAGUGACUUGCUAACUGAAUUGAUAUCGUAAUGAAGACUUAAAAUUUUACUUUAUUUAA